rnacentral:rRNA from 1 species
UACAGAGGGGGCAAGCGUUAUUCGGAAUUAUUGGGCGUAAAGGGCGCGUAGGCGGCCUGGCAAGUGGAAGGUGAAAUCCCUCGGCUUAACCGAGGAACUGCCCUCCAAACUGCUUGGCUUGAGUCCGGGAGAGGUGAGUGGAAUUCCCAGUGUAGCGGUGAAAUGCGUAGAUAUCGGAAGGAACACCUGUGGCGAAAGCGGCUCACUGGACCAUAACUGACGCUGAGGCGCGAAAGCUAGGGGAGCAAACAGG